AGGUCCAAAUUAUACUUGAGACUUUACAAAUCCUCUGAAAUGAGCUCCAAAUUAUACCUGAGACUUUACAAAUCCUCUGAAAUGAGGUCCAAAUUAUACCUGAGACUUUACAAAUCCUCUGAAAUGAGGUCCAAAUUAUACUUGAGUCUUUACAAAUCCUCUGAAAUGAGGUCCAAAUUAUACUUGAGACUUUACAAAUCCUCUGAAAUGAGGUCCAAAUUAUACCUGAGACUUUACAAAUCCUCUGAAAUGAGGUCCAAAUUAUACUUGAGUCUUUACAAAUCCUCUGAAAUGAGGUCCAAAUUAUACUUGAGACUUUACAAAUCCUCUGAAAUGAGGUCCAAAUUAUACUUGAGACUUUACAAAUCCU